AUUUCGGGUCAAACACGAACCCUACCGGUUAACCCACAUUGACGUCCCCUGCCAAUAGUGCUCGCUCGCACUGAAGUGGCCGCGAACACGCAGGGCUCGCCUGUGGGAGACGUAGCUGGAAAGGUAAAGAGAGCUAGAGAGUGAGGGCAAGACGGUGAGCCAGAGAGAAAGAGAGAUCGGCACCCGGCGGCAGCGGCGUCACACUGGAUUUGCAUCUUGACGGCUGACACGGAUUUGAGGCCAGCUCUUUCAUACGACGAAAGAUGGGUAUCAUUGAGAAAAUAAAGGAAAUUGAAGCCGAAAUGGCUCGAACGC